GAAAAUGAUAAGUUUGCCAACUUUCGAACUUGACCCUGUUCUUCUCGAAACUUCAAUAACUUUGUUCUAGUUGGACGGAACUUUCCUUGGAGAUCUGGACACCCUAAGUAACCUCUGUUUGUUUACCCGAGUUCUCCUUUCUGAUGUUGUUCACGUUUUCCAUUUUAGUCUUGUUCUUGUUAAUGAUAGGACUUGGACGAGGAGGAGGUGGAGGGCCCUUGGAUCUCGUAGAGUAUGAUGAUUAUGUCAGAGUGCAGGAAUUAACCUUUAGGGGGGAAUAAAAGAAAAAUAAAAAGGUAAUAAGUCACUGCAGGUUAUGAAAAGAAAAUAUUGCAAUAUUUAAACAUAUUGUGCAAGAAUAUAAAUCGUGUCCUAAUUUGGAUGCCUCGUUGUUCCCAAGGUAGGCCUAGAAACAAGUUAAUUUUGAGAACUUAUAAUGUUAAAUGCCUCAUUUUAUUGAUAAAAAUAAGGCGAAUCCCAAAACGACACUAAAAUUGCAGAAAAAAAUAAAAUGUCACUAAUGACCAUUGGCCUUAUUGCAUCAUUAAAGCAAAAGAAAGGACUCCUAACUACUUGGUACCAUAAGGACCUUUUUCAGGUUAAAUGUUCUCGUUGAUCAGAUCCUCCAGCUCCCGCAGAUUUUCCAGUAAAAAUGCCUUUGCCAGGUGUUCUCCUUCGCUUCCCUUAGAGUUUUGACAGCCGGCUACUCUUUUCCUCACUUUCGCUUCAGAUUCCAGCAAGCUAUACUCCAGGUAUUCUAGCAUCUCACUAGCCUUAGUGACUCUCUCUUUACAUUCGUUGAAUUUGUUGCUCAAUGGGAGGUUUCUCCACUAAGUCUGCAAGAGUGAAGGUAUGUUGACCAUAUUGAAGUUAGGAAAUUUGUCCCAUUUCUGCAAAACAAAAGGGUAAGGCCCUUACCCUCGCCAGAAUCGACUAUUUAAACCAAUGGUUCGCAUAAGCGGUACUUAGUUCUCCAAAUAAAUGCACACACGUGGUAGUGUCCGUUUGGGUUCCAAAAAAACCAGUGGACUUUAGACAAGCUAUCUUAAAGAGUCGUUAUCUGGACAACAUAACUGACUCGGCUAGGUUUGACCAUGAUGCAUGCACAGUUAAACAGAGUAAGGUUUAUAUGGGGUAUUAGACCGGUACCCUUGAGCGGACAACUCAAUAGCGAAAGGCACGAAACACUCGACUGCACUGCUGAUCGACUGGUUGUACCGCAAAUAUUCCUUUGCCAAAUUUAGGGGGUGAUAAUAUUGGAAGAGUGCAACCACUAAUUAUAAGCGUUGCUAUGGUAUUUGUUUGGCACGAGUGAAAUAUUAUGUUGAAGACGCAAUUACAAGAAUGAAACAGAUUGCCACGUAUUUCCACGUUCAUAAGAUAAUGAUUACAAUGAUUUCUCAUAAUUACAACAGUAUUGAAGUGAAGCAGUAAAAGAAAGCAUUAAGGAAAGAAAAGACACAAAGAGCCAAGUUAGUUUCACAGUAGAGGAAAUAAAGACAGUAAGUAAAUGCAAUUAAAGAGGCAAUAAAGUUACAAGUAGCAUCCAAUGGUAAAAGCCCAAAGAAAUCCCCAGUAGAGUCGACAUGCUGUCGACACCCCCUUUUUCUAAGGUGAAAUUGGGUUCAUGCAUUUGGGAGGACAACUCUAUACCUUUGCGAGAAUUGGGUUUCGGAGUUGGAGAGUUGCCACCUAAUAAUUAUGGUGCAUUAGGACACUUUAAGAAGGGUUUGAGAUGAAUAAAUCAGAGUUUAAGUAAGGGCUAGAAAUUAUCUCGAGGGGAAGGUGUUAGGCACCCCUCAAGAUCCACUAGUGUGGUCCCAGCCAUGUUACAGUUAUGACUUUAUAUAAAUACAUAAACACUUAAGGCUCAAAUAAGAAUUUGCAUAUAAUAUUUCAAUAAGUUGAAAAUUUGAAAGAUAUGCGAAGAGGACAAAAUUUUAUGAAGAAGAAAAAUUUAAAGAGUAAGAAAAGAUAAAAGCAGAUAAAGGAAGAGGGGUCCUAGGUUUAUGAUUAAUAUGGAUCACAUCAAUGCAAUAUCCAGUAAUCACUCCUCCAAAGAGGGGUCGCACGUGAUAUUAGUGCACCGGUCAUCAUAUCCAUAUUCUACCCUUUCUACCCCUUAAGGUAUUAAAGCGUGGAAUAAUGUCGUUACUUAUUGCAUGCUACUACCCGUCCCAAUCCUAUCAGUCCCGGAGGCAUUUGGGACUUCUAGUCCAAUCAAGGGGAGGAGUUUUGGGCUUUUCGAGAGUUUAAAAGGUUAAGAUUCUAAGGCGUCAAACAAAACAUAUAAGACAGUUAUAGAGUGCACACAACAGUUAAGGCUCAAAUAGACCUCCUUUAAAUCACAGAAAACAUGCAGUCUAGCAUGCCUUACAUGUACUGAUUAGGUCUGAAUUAAACUUAAAUGUUAGGCAAGCUGAUUUAUCACAUAUUUCUCAAAUGUGAAGUCCGAAUAAGGACUCUCUUGGUUGUAAUUGUCGAAGACUGAUUUAGUUAGUUAAUUACCUACUCGUUUGUCUAAGUGAAACUUAUAGGUAUGAUAUCUGAUGGUUUCAGAAAUAAAGAAGUAAACUGAUUACAGAAAGGCUUCUAGGUUUUAACAGAAUAAUACAAGUUCUGCAGUUGAUAAUUACUACUGAUAGAUUGAACUUAAAACGAGUGAGGCGAUUCAGAUUUGGUUAAUAGUCCUUAUAGGCAUGCUUUCAAGGCGUUGUUAAUUUUAAAACAAUUAUGAAAGUGAAGGAGUUCUAUAGACAUGGUAUCUAGGAUGCAAUUGAUUAUUAUUUAACCUACAAAUGUUUGCAUAAUGAUAGAUGCACAAUGCAGAACCUUACGGACAUGGUUUCUAUAUAUGCAUACGUGCAGAAAAUCUGUAGGCAUGAUCUCUAUAUAUGCAAAAGUGCUUAAUCAUGUCGACAAUAUUUCUAUAUGAAAUGCAGAAGUGUAGAAUCCUAUAGACAAGAUUUCUAUAUGAAAUACAGAAGUGAAAAAAAUAGGUUGUGAUUACAGGAAUAAAAUACCUAAUAUCAUAAUGUCUACUCGUAUGCAUACACAGUGACCAUCCCCCUUUCUUUACUAAAACCCCAUAAGUUAUUUCAAAUUAUUAUAGACUAGAGCGAAUUAGAAAAGUAAAUUACAUCAGAAAUUUAAUCUACAACCAAGGAGCCUAAUCCAGACUCAAGGUCUAACAAUAUGAUAUGAAACCACUUCCAGGAUCGGGUUCCAAAGCCUUUCUCUUAUCUGGGAGUAUGUCAAGUUCCAAGGAGUUUCAAAAACUCCAGGAAAUGCUUACACCCGAGUCAUCAUUGCAGAAUUUGAUUAAAGUGCAGUGUGGAAGGGCCAGGCCUCCAAUUUCCAAGUUCAGAGGGAACUCAAGGUCCCAAAACAAGGCUCAUAUGAGGGGGCAGAACUUAGAAUCUAAGAGUAGGUGUAAGUGAAAUAGAGGGGAUUAGGGAAUGCCAAGGCAGGCUGGUGGUCAUACCCAGCAACAUGGAAUGCUAGCACACCCCUGACCAGUCUGGCAACCAAAAAUUAGAGAGUUAGGACCUAUUGAAGGUCAGGUUCAGCCCUGGACAACAAUUUGGAAGCUGCUAGGCUAUACCUUAACUCAAACACACAUAAGGGAAUAUGGUAUGGGAAAUCGAAAGAGCUUAGGACCCAAAUGAUCCAGUUUAUAUCCAUGUACAAUACCUUUAUAUAUUUCCAUGUUUUAAACUACAGCUCAAACAGAUAAAGGGAUAUGGGGAUGGGAUCCAUUGCAAGACAUAAGCAAGAUAUAAGCACAUUACCACAAAGUUAAAUUCUACAGGCAGUAAAGUAAGCAUGGACAUAAGAACUGGUAAGUAAACACAUUGGAGUUGAUGCUGGAAUCAAAACUAGGACAUACCAGUUUCAGAAAGGGACAAGCAAAAGAAAGAAGAAGUCUUGCAAAUAGGCUAUAGUACAAGCAACACGAGAGAAUAGUUUUGGGUGUAAGUGUGAGUUCAUAAAAAACUAUGAGUUUUGGUGAGUUGUGAUAGUAAAAGAUCAUGUAUUUAUAGUUUGAAAACAUGUAGGGAAUAAGGCAAGGAAAUAAUCAUGUACUAAUUAGAAUCAAUCAGUAGAAGAACUUCCUUUAAUUAAGGAGUUCAAACUUAAACGGCAAUGAGCAAAAAGUAUUUAAGGAAAGAGAUCAAGUAAGGAUUUUGUGCAAAGUAGGCAAUUAGGGGUAAAUACAUAGGAGUUUAAUUAAGGGAAGAAAUUUUGAAAUACAUGGUUAAACAAAUAAGGUGAGAACCAUUCAGUACCCAGUAAAUCAAGGAAUCAGAGAUUUGAAGUUAUUGGUUCAUGAAUAACCAAGUCAGAAAGGCUAAGGAAAAUGUUUUACUUAAGAAGAAUCAGUAGCAAUCAAUUAAACCCCAAAAAAGGAUUCUGAUUCGAACACAAGUUGGAAAACCUUUUGAAGAAAGAUUUUAACACAUAUAAAAGGGGUUGUCAUGCUAAUCAGAGCAUACUAGUAUAGAAGAAUUCUUACACAAAAGAUUCAUACUCAGUACAUGGAUCCAAAGUGAUUUUGAGAGAGUGAAGGAGUCAAAUAGAGUCGUAUAGAAAAAUUCAUACAUAAAAGGAUUCAAACUCGGUACGUGGAUCCAAAGUGAGUUUGAGAGAGUCCAGGAUUCCAAUAGAACUCUAGUCCAAAAACACAAGAGCAAACUCGCCAAAAACCCCAAAUCCUAGGGUUUUCUACUUGAAUCAAAAGAAAAGAAGAGGAAACAAGCAGAUACAGUAGAAGGUUUAAUGCAAACAGAGUCAUGGAAUUAAUUCGAAAAACAAUGAGAGUAGAAGAAACAGUAAGCAGGCAUAGUAAGAACACUUAAUGAACUACAGUAGGCGAAGCAUAUGAAGUCAUAGUGUAAGGCAAGUAGCAGAACAUAGCAUGUGAAAACAUAGCACAGAAAUAACGCAGAAGGAAGAACAAAAUAUAGCAAACAUAGUAGAAGAACAUGUGUAAGAAAAACAUAAGAACAUGAUAGAGACAAACAUACACGAGAAAGGGAGAAGAAAAAUCGAAAAACACAUAAGCAUUUUCAGAAACCCUAAAUCAGAAAGAAGUGACUUCGAAAGAAAAAGGAUUUUAUAAAGAAAAGUUGGGAAACCUUUUAAAAACUCGAAGUAAAGCAUGAAUACACACCGAUCUGAAGAGAAUCGAAGAAAAAUCUUGAAUAUCUGGGGUUUCAGGUGAACCCUAAAACGAGAAAGGCUUCGAAAAUGUCCAAUCUAAGUCGGAUAAGACUGGAAACAGGUUCAAGAGGCUAAGAUAUGCCAGAGCCGAGCCGGAGAUGGCCGGAAACCUCAAGGUAGCGGAGAUCUGGGUGGAGACCUUUGAGUUCUAGCCUCAAACCCUCGAUACCAAGCGCACAAGAGUGACAAGAGGGGAGUAUGAGGAUUUCACGGCCUGAGAAGCCAUGGAAACCGGCGAGAAAGGGAUUAGGGUUAGCUUGGGUGACGGCGACUAGGGUUUGCAGAAAGAAUGGGAGAGGAAGGGAAUUCAAGGGCGGCU
rnacentral:lncRNA from 1 species